AACGAUGAACCUCCUUCGGGAGGGGAUUAGUGGCGAACGGGUGAGUAACACGUGGGCAAUCUGCCCUUCACUCUGGGACAAGCCCUGGAAACGGGGUCUAAUACCGGAUACGACCUCCGACCGCAUGGUCUGGUGGUGGAAAGCUCCGGCGGUGAAGGAUGAGCCCGCGGCCUAUCAGCUUGUUGGUGGGGUGAUGGCCUACCAAGGCGACGACGGGUAGCCGGCCUGAGAGGGCGACCGGCCACACUGGGACUGAGACACGGCCCAGACUCCUACGGGAGGCAGCAGUGGGGAAUAUUGCACAAUGGGCGAAAGCCUGAUGCAGCGACGCCGCGUGAGGGAUGACGGCCUUCGGGUUGUAAACCUCUUUCAGCAGGGAAGAAGCGAGAGUGACGGUACCUGCAGAAGAAGCGCCGGCUAACUACGUGCCAGCAGCCGCGGUAAUACGUAGGGCGCAAGCGUUGUCCGGAAUUAUUGGGCGUAAAGAGCUCGUAGGCGGCUUGUCACGUCGGAUGUGAAAGCCCGGGGCUUAACCCCGGGUCUGCAUUCGAUACGGGCAGGCUAGAGUUCGGUAGGGGAGAUCGGAAUUCCUGGUGUAGCGGUGAAAUGCGCAGAUAUCAGGAGGAACACCGGUGGCGAAGGCGGAUCUCUGGGCCGAUACUGACGCUGAGGAGCGAAAGCGUGGGGAGCGAACAGGAUUAGAUACCCUGGUAGUCCACGCCGUAAACGUUGGGAACUAGGUGUGGGCGACAUUCCACGUCGUCCGUGCCG
rnacentral:rRNA from 1 species